ACAAGCUGAUUUUAAGGUGUGGGGGAAUGUGUGCUUCUAAGCAACCCGCUGCGUCUGGUUUUCAGAAACACACUCAAGUAUAUGCAAUAUGCAUGCAUGCAGAGGAUUGAUACCCACACACAGAAGCACAUGCAUGCCCAAUGCAGGAACAGUCACACACACAUACACACACACACACACACACACACACACACACACACACACACAUACACACACACACGCACCUCAGAUACUCAUGUGAAGACAGAAUCACACCCACAUUCUCCAAGUGUGCACACUCCAUCAACCCACCUUGUUAGAGCCGUUGCUCAGAUAGGGGAGCUGGCCGAAUGUCAGGUGGGUGGCUUUUCGAGAAGAACGGAUAACAAGCUGAAGUUUGGAGGAACAGACUGCCAAGAAAGUAAACAAAGGGAGAGGCAGAGAGGAGAGCAGCAUGGCAAGGCUUGAACCCACGCCAGGUGCAGUCCUCAAGUGAAAGGGAUAAUCAGCCUGCUGGGUGUUGAUUGGCCAACACUGAAGACCAAGAGCCAGAAACUGCGGUAACUCACAUCGCAACCACCACUUUGUGAGAGGGAGAAUAAAUGGUAUCGUUUUUGACAGUUUUUGCUGUUUCAAACGUUCCACUGAGCCUCGCUUUUAAGGCCCCUCUACAAGCAAGUACCAUCAGCAGAGACUCACAGCACAACACUGGGUUAGAACUUCACACUUACUCUUGCACUCAGCAAGUCAUAUACUGUUUCCCUGAAAAACCUACAAGCUCUUUAAACACAACCGAUGUCUUCAUUCCAACCUCGGCAGAGGCAAUAUGCAGGCAUCGGCAUGUUCAUUGAAAGUUGCCCCCGCCGCCGAGUUACACUUUCCCCAUAAACUCAAGACCAGUUCUCUGAAAUCACAGUGUCUCUCUCAAUCUAUGUAGAGUUGAGACAAAACCUAACAGUGUAAUUUGUCUUAUUUUUGACUAAAUAUUUCAUGAUCGUUAAGUGCAAGUGGAGUCAACCUGCUGAGGAGAGCAAUGAAGUCAGCAGACCAUGAUAGGCUCAAAAGCCGUGUGAGAAAAGAAUUUACAGGGCCACAUCUCCACAUUACUAAGUGAUUGGAUGGCUUAAAUGUGACGAGCUCACCCAGUGCCCUUCUAGGAAAAGGUACUUUGGGGAGGUACUUGUUUGGGUUUCCCCCAGAAAUAGACCCCUAAAACAAGAGUUUCAGCAAAAAAAUUCUUUCUUUCUGCACAGUGCCAGAAAGUAGAGAUGAAGAGAAGGCAGCCGUGAUGGGUAGGUGCAUUUUCAAACAAGUGACCACUGAGGCAGCUGGAACUUAACCCCACUAGGACAAUCUGAGAGAUAAUAUAGACUAAAUGAGACAGAGUACCAGAGGCAUCUAACCUGGCAUAGGACCUCUGGGGACUGGGGAGGUGGGGAGUCAACACAACUCCAGCAGUUAUUGGUUUAGGGCUGGUCCCAGGAGAUAGUUAGGCUGCCUCCCCAGGCUGGAGGACAGCCCUCAUGUGUGUAUAGACAGUCCCUCUCCAGGCACAUGUGGGUGUUGGGCCCAAGAGAUAUGUGACAGCACCUGCUACCAGUGUACGCUUGGAAAUCUCUUAAAGAUUAAACAGAAAUGUUCUAUACUGUGGGAGCAAACUCCUCCUCUUUACUAAUUUAUUUUCAAUAAGAAGUGAGAAUUCUACCCGAAGCUGUUCAGCAAAAUUUCUUCAUACUCAAACCAGGCAAAAAUGUUUCCCAAAGCAAAGUUCUUUUCAUAGCUUGGUUAUUCCAAAUAGUCAGAAAAGAGAGAGAGUGCAUGUGCUGGUAGUUCAGGGCUCUUUGGCACUAAACUAAGAAUUAAAAUACUUUGAAAACUGCAAAUCAAUAUAUAAAUGUAAGUCUUUAGUGUUAAUUUGAUUCAACAAAUCCACACUGAGUCUGUUGAGUGGAGAGCAAAGGAUAAUAACAGCCACUUCUGUGAUUAUUCUAUUGUUCAAAGGUUGAAUUGAAUCUCAGGGUCUGGUCCCAUUUGUAAGUGCUCACUAUUCCAAAUAAUUAAAGUUCUUUUUUUUUUUCCCAAUCGCAAUAACCAUAAAAUGAGUACUGGCCAAGAGACUACUUUUGAUCAGGUCAGAGCUUCAUUUCCCUGCCUCACCUAGGCCACAGUCUGAACAGUUCCUCUAGCUCGGGAUGGGGGAAGAGAGGCCAGGAGGGUGCAGGCACUUGCCUAGGAAGGGUGCAGUCAGGGAGUAUCUUACAGCAAGGCUUAGGAACAAGCAGAUAGGGAAGUGACUCUGCUCUGUAGCUCUUAGCCUGUGAUAAUUCCAGACUUGUAUCUGUAGCACGGGUCCAAGACUGAAGCUGUGCUAAGUCUGUAGCUGAAGGAGUACUUUUUUAGGAAUGUGUGGUGUGUGGAAGAGGUGGCAGUUUGAAGAGCUUGGGAGCAGGUAGGGCAGAAUCUCAUCUUUGCUUCGUAGGCCUGCUUUGUUGAAGCCACAAGUCACACAUGGCUGGUGGGCCUGUAAAAUUCAAAGAGGCUAUUCCGGAGUUUUCUCAGGGAUAUGUGUUGAGACAAAGAUUUGACGAUAUCUGUGAAUUCCAAUGGAGGAUGCACAGACUUUUUUUUCAUUAUUCCCUAAACAACAAGCUGUUAGAUAACAACUGCAGCAUUCAUAUUGUAUUAAUUACUAUAAAACACAUAGAAAUGGGCUCAGGUGUGUCCCAUCUAUGGUCUCUCAUCUGUAUGUGGCCCCGGACGGCUAUGAAUGUGACUCAAUACAAAAUAGUAAACUUACUUAAAAUAUUAAGAGAUCUCUUUCAUUCUUUUUUGCAACUCAAUUGUAAAUUCUCAAGCUUGAACUUAGUAAAGGAUAAUAUAUCUAAAGGUAAAAAAGUUGGCCACACCUGGCAGGAGGUUGGAUCUAGGUUGGAUGUAAGUACCACACUGGUAUGUAAGGGGCUGGCACAUCAGUGGAUGGCUUCCCUAUCUUGGAGUGGGGCUCUGCCCCCUAGGAAUACCAGGCUAGACUUCAUCUAGGAGGACAUCCCAAGGAGCCCUAAAAGGGUAAGGUGAAGAGACAGCAAAAAGAAAGGGCAGCCAAGGAAGGCUUCUAUGGAAAGAAUUGCCAGAGGGCAAGGGCCCUUAAUUCCACUAAGGAGUUCUGAGAAGCGCUGCAGGCAGAGCCGGACUUAGCCUUUACCCAGCAGUACCUGUCAAUCACUGGCUACAGUGGUACCUGUCAAUCACUGCCGAGAGCUACUACCCAAGAACAGCACUGGAGAGGAGAGGAAGGGCUUUGUUCCUGGAUCUUCUGGCCUGCCCUCCAGUGGAGCAGAAUGAGGUCCAAUAAAUGAGGGUUUUCCCAAAACCUGAGUAUUCAGAUGAUUGUGUUUCUACCAGUCUGCAAAGGUGGGGUUCUAACAGUGUGGUGAUUGUAGGAACCGAGUCAAACCUGAGCAUCAUUCUGAGUCCCCACUUCCUAAUUGUGUAACCUUAGACUUGGAACCUCCGUUUCUUUGUUAGUGAAAAGGGGCACAGCAGGAGUCCAACCGGGUUUGCUGACACCGUCAGGCAUUAUUGAGAUAAUAUGUGUAUCAGGACUGACACAUAAUAGACACUCAGUAAUCUUUCGUUUUCUUCUCGAAAGAGCUGAGGCUAUAGCUCCGCGCAAGUCAGUUAUGCUGAUGGAGAAGCGGUUCAGGAGGGUGUAGCAGGAAUCUUAGAGAGUCUUAUUAAUAAAAUCAAACCUGAGGCCAGUUAUUGGGGUAAAUGCUGGAAGGUCAGAGUACCAGAACAAGCCACAGCUAACCUCACCUGGCCAACUUCUCAGCUGGUCUUGUUUCCUCAGACUGGAAGCUUCUGUGUCCUCAUAUCUGAAUGGCUCUCAGCUGAACUGCUGCUAGAAGCCUGAAAGCUUAACCAGCCAAAAUGCUUAACCAGCCAAAUGCUUCUAGUUUCUGGUCCUCACACCUUAUAAACCUUUCUGCUUUCUACCACCACUCCCUGGGAUUAAAGACUCGCUUUCAGGGAUUAAAGGCGUGAGUCACCAUGCCUGGCCUUUCCAAUGUGGCCUUGAACUCACAGAGAUCCAAAAGGAUUUCUGUCUCUGGAAUGCUAGGAUUAAAGGUGUGAGUGCCACCAUUUUCUAGCCUUUGUAUCUAGUGGCUGUCUGUUCUCUGACCCCAGAUAAGUUUAUUAAGGUACACAAUAUUUUGGGGAACACAGUACCACCACAGGAGGGACUCAGGAAACAAGUACAAUUGCUCAGCCCGAUUCCUAAUGAGCUCGGAGUGAUCCGAAGGAAAGAAAAGGUCAGCUGACCCCAGUUAAGUUUAAGAUUGUGAGGCUAGGAAAGUUAAGAGCAAAGAAUGGAGAAGACCAAAAAUAAUCUCAAAGAUUCUUAGAAUUCCCAUCCAAGCAAAGUGAAAGGAAGGAGAAAGGGAAGCACCACUGUUUAUGGCCAAGGAUGGAAUGAAGAAGGGUGCCCCUAGAAAGAGAAUUCCUGAUCACUUCUCUGCUGCAGAUCUUUCAACUAGGAAGAUAUGCAUGGGUCAUUGGAGAGUUGGGCUGGUCCCUAAGGUAGGCAAAGGGACUGUAAAGCAAUCCUCUUCUCCAAAAGAGGUGUUGGUGUUUUUUACUCUUUUGGGGGGCCUGCCACCCAGCUCCCAAAUAAAUCACACACAGAGGCUUAUUAUUAAUUAUGAAUGCCUGGCCUCAGCUUGGCUUGUUUCUCACCAGCUUUUCUUAACUUAAAAUUAUCCCAUUUACCUUUUGCCUCUGGGAUUUUACCUUUCUUUAUUUCUGAAUAACUUUAUUUCUUACUCUGUUGCUGUUUGUGCAGCUGGAUGCCUGGUCCCUAGAGUCCUCCUCCUUCUCUAGCUACUUCUUUUUGUCUCACAGAUUUCUCCUUCUAUAUAUUCUCUCUGCCUGCCAGCCCCUCCUAUCCUUUCUCCUGCCUCACUAUUGGCCAUUCAGUUUUUUAUUAGACCAUCAGGUGUUUUAGACAGGCAUAGUAACACAGCUUCACAGUGUUAAACAAAUGCAACAUAAACAAAAGUAACACACCUUAAAAUAAUAUUCUACAACAAAGAGGUUUCCUCUAGGCAGGGAAAUAAUGCCUCCUAGUCUUAAGUGACCACAGAAAGCACACAAGAAUGUUGGCUGCUUCUUGCACUCUGGUCUCCAUCAUUCACCCUGCAAAUGGGACUCAGCCUUUGGGUAGAUCCAUGAUCGUAUGUAAAGAUCUGCCAAGAUGCAUGUAUUCUUCCUUGAACUUUUUCUUGAAUUCUUUCUAUUUAUUUUAUUGUCUUUUUGUUUAUUUAUUUGCUUUGACUUCCUUUUGGUGCUAGGAAUCAAAUCCAAUGCCUUGUAUGUGUUAGAAAAGUCCUCUGCCAAUAAGCUAUGUGCCAGCGCACACAGGAACUGUUGAGUGAAGCCAGGGGGAAGAUUCAGUUGACUGCAAUUCCAUCUUCUUCCUGAGACCCCCGACUCAAAACCCCCUUUAAAGAGGGUGAAAUAUACACCCUGACUUUGGAUUGAGCCUUGUGAUUUGUUUAGAGCAACAUUACACAUGAUCUACCCACACGUUUAUGAUUUUACUCUCCAUGGUUUCAGUAACCCAUGGCCAACAGCAAUCUGAAACUACUAAAAGAAAUAUUUCAAAAAUACACAACUUUCAAAUAGUGUGGUGAAAUUUGGUACCAUCCUACCCAGGACAUAAAGCAUCCCAUUGCUCAGUGCAUCCACACCAUAUACACUACCACCCAUUAGUCACAUUUAGCAGCUUAUCAGAUUGAUUGUAGCAGAGCCACACUGCUUAUGGGGAAGUAACUCUCAUGUAAUUAUUUAAUGCUGGGCCACAAUGUCUAUAUCCUUCUUCCAUUUUUCCUCAUUGCACAGACAUUGUGACAUCUCCAGUCAUCAUAAGAAGAGCUUGCCCAGGCUAGCCCACUGAAUUGGAAAGAAGAGGAGAGACACUGGAAGAAGAGCUGCCUCUGUUGCCAUGGUCAGAAGCUCCAACACCCAAAUUGUCCACAGAACCACAGUAAGAAACAGAGCUGCAUACAGGAACCCAACACCUGUCAAAUGCCAGCUGAGCACAAGCAUACAAGGCACCCAGGAACAGUAAAGGUGCCCAGGCUAGACUGCUGAUAUUCCCCCACCAACCUGCAAACUCCUGAGCUGCAUAAAUGUAUAAUGGUAUAUGUCAAUGACACAUCACUGUUUGUAUAUAGUAACUGUUACACUUACCCAUGCAAGACUCCUCAAGCCUCACAUAUUACAUGAUGCCCAUCCAACAUAAAGAGAACAUGCAAGUUCUUCUGGCUUAUGAAAGGCUCACAGCCUUUUAUUGGUCAAUUUCUCAUUGCUGUGAAAAGCUACUUAGGGGAGGAAGGACUUACUUGGCUCGCAGUUCCAGGGAAUGUGGUCCAUCACAGUAAGCAGGGCACUAGAAGCAGCUCCCAGCCAGAACCCUGGAAGCAUCAGGUGAUUGCUUAUUACAUGGCUGACCAGGAAGCAGAGCACAGCUGGAACUGGGGCCCAGAUACACUGGAUGUAAGUCCAGUCCUAUGAUCACAUCUGUAAUUCCAGUCCUAUAGGAUCCAAGGCUCUCUUUUACCCUUUGUGGACACCAAGUACAUACAUGGUGCAGAGACAUACAUGCAAGUAAAACAUUCAUGUAUCUGAAAAGAAAUGAGAACAUUUUAACUUAAAAAAAAUUAAAUCUUUAAACAGUACACUGCUGAGUAUCCAUGGUUUCCUCUUGUGACCUUGAGGCUGGCAUCAUCAUAGGGGAACCCACUGCAUAUUACUAGCUCACCCCCCCAAAAAAAUGCCCAGUCAUUGCAUAUUGCCUUACUCACUCAUAGGGUUGAAAAUGUUAAUCAAACCAUCAUAAGUCAGGGGCUGUCUAAGAGAUUUCUUGGCAACUCUAGGCCAAAGCAAAUAUUAAGGUUUGGGUCUCACAGUGUAUGUUUCUUUAGACACUCUCCAAGACUCUGGUCGUUAGCCUGGUCAUUUAUUUUGGCAUAUUUCACUCAUCCUUUCAACAAUGCCAUUUACCUAAAAUGUAUGACUACAUCUCAAUUAGAUUGUCAGCUUUCUGUACAUGUAGUUUGCACAUAUUUGUAGCUCUCUUAAUACUUAGCAUUGUUGUUAUCAGGCAUCUAAUAAAUAUUUACAUAGUGCUGAA